CAGUCGCCGCGGGAAAACGGAGGGUGCGAGCGUUAAUCGGAAUUACUGGGCGUAAAGCGUACGCAGGCGGUUUGUUAAGUCAGAUGUGAAAUCCCCGGGCUUAACCCGGGAACUGCAUUUGAAACUGGCAGGCUAGAGUCUCGUAGAGGGGGGUAGAAUUCCAGGUGUAGCGGUGAAAUGCGUAGAGAUCUGGAGGAAUACCGGUGGCGAAGGCGGCCCCCUGGACGAAGACUGACGCUCAGGUACGAAAGCGUGGGGAGCAAACAGGAUUAGAUACCCGCGUAGUCCCUGUCUCUUAUAC
rnacentral:rRNA from 1 species